rnacentral:rRNA from 1 species
AUUGAACGCUGGCGGCAGGCCUAACACAUGCAAGUCGAACGCGUGGCGGACGGGUGAGUAAUGUCUGGGAAACUGCCCGAUGGAGGGGGAUAACUACUGGAAACGGUAUCUAAUACCGCAUACCAUCGGAUGUGCCUAUAUGGGUUUAGCUAGUAGGUGGGGUAACGGCUCACCUAGGCGACGCUCCCUAGCUGGUCUGAGAGUAUGACCAGCCACACUGGAACUGAGACACGGUCCAGACUCCUACGGGAGGCAGCAGUGGGGAAUAUUGCACAAUGGGCGCAAGCCUGAUGCAGCCAUGCCGCGUGUAUGAAGAAGGCCUUCGGGUUGUAAAGUACUUUCAGCGAGGAGGCGUUACUCGCAGAAGAAGCACCGGCUAACUCCGUGCCAGCCGCCGCGGUAAUUC